rnacentral:rRNA from 1 species
UCGCGGUAUGGGAUGGGGUCGCGUCCUAUCAGCUUGACGGCGGGGUAACGGCCCACCGUGGCUUCGACGGGUAGCCGGCCUGAGAGGGCGACCGGCCACAUUGGGACUGAGAUACGGCCCAGACUCCUACGGGAGGCAGCAGUGGGGAAUAUUGCACCAUGGGCGCAAGCCUGAUGCAGCGACGCCGCGUGAGGGAUGGAGGCCUUCGGGUUGUAAACCUCUUUUAUCGGGGAGCAAGCGCGAGUGAGUUUACCCGUUGAAUAAGCACCGGCUAACUACGUGCCAGCAGCCGCGGUAAUACGUAGGGUGCAAGCGUUAUCCGGAAUUAUUGGGCGUAAAGGGCUCGUAGGCGGUUCGUCGCGUCCGGUGUGAAAGUCCAUCGCUUAACGGUGGAUCCGCGCCGGGUACGGGCGGG